GUCUACGGCCAUACCACCCUGAACGCGCCCGAUCUCGUCUGAUCUCGGAAGCUAAGCAGGGUCGGGCCUGGUUAGUAAUUGGAUGGGAGACCGCCUGGGAAUACCGGGUGCUGUAGGCU
rnacentral:rRNA from 1 species